rnacentral:rRNA from 1 species
UAUGGCUCAGGAUGAACGCUAGCGACAGGCUUAACACAUGCAAGUCGAGGGGCAGCAUGGGAGGUGGCAACACCACCCGAUGGCGACCGGCGCACUGGUGAGUAACACGUAUGCAACCUGCCUCCUCCAGGGGGGAUAACCCAGAGAAAUUUGGCCUAAUACCCCGUAGUCCGCGAGAGGGCAUCCUCUUGCGGGGAAAGCUCCGGCGGGGGGAGAUGGGCAUGCGGCGCAUUAGCUGGUUGGCGGGGCGACGGCCCACCAAGGCUACGAUGCGUAGGGGUUCUGAGAGGAAGGUCCCCCACACUGGUACUGAGACACGGACCAGACUCCUACGGGAGGCAGCAGUGAGGAAUAUUGGUCAAUGGGCGCAGGCCUGAACCAGCCAAGUCGCGUGCGGGACGACGGCCCUACGGGUUGUAAACCGCUUUAGCCGGGGAGUAACGUGCGGCACGCGUGCCGUAUUGAGAGUACCCGGAGAAUAAGCAUCGGCUAACUCCGUGCCAGCAGCGGC